rnacentral:rRNA from 1 species
AAAGGAAUUGACGGGGAGACACACAACCAGUGGAGCAUGUGGUUUAAUUCGUUAAGAACCGAAGCACCUCACCAAGGUUUGACAUGCUAGAGUUCUAUACUCGAGAAACCGAGUAGAUGCGCAAGCAGGCUAGCACAGCUGUUGCAUGGCUGUCGUCAGUUCGUUCCGUGAGGAGUGCCUUUAAGUAGGACAACGAACGCAACCCUCAUCUUGUGUUACAAGUGUCACAAGAAACUGCCUUCAGCUUGUCUGGGGGAGGAAGGAGAGGCAGACGUCAAGUCAGCAUGACGCUUACACCUUGGGCCACACACAUGCUACAAUGGACUAUAACAAUGCGCAGCAACACCGCGAGGUAGAGCAAAUCGCACCAAACUAGUCCUCAGUUGGGAUUGCAGGCUGAAACUCGCCUGCAUGAACCCGGAAUUGGUAGUAAUCGGAGGUCAGCUAUACUCCGGUGAAUACGUUCUUGUCUCUUGCACACACCGCCCGU